rnacentral:rRNA from 1 species
AACGAACGCUGGCGGCAGGCUUAACACAUGCAAGUUGAACGUGAUUUGCUGGGUGCUUGCACCGAGCAAUGAAAGUAGCGCACUGGUGAGUAACACGUGGGAACGUACCUUUUGGUGGGGAACAACAGUUGGAAACGACUGCUAAUACCGCAUAAGCCCUGAGGGGGAAAGAUUUAUCGCCGAAAGAACGGCCCGCGGAAGAUUAGGUAGUUGGUGGGGUAACGGCCUACCAAGCCGACGAUCUAUAGCUGGUCUGAGAGGACGAUCAGCCACAUUGGAACUGAGACACGGUCCAA